ACAAGAAAAGAGAAAAACCUAGAGAUAGAGAAGGGGGGGCUCACGGCCAUGGUGAAAAAAAUCCAUGUUCACCAAGCUUGGUCCAAUUAAUUUUUCCAUGGUGUUGUAAAUCAAAUGGAGGUCUUUGGGAACAUGAAUUGGUCCUUGAGAGCAGCAAGAAUGGUCUUUAAUUGAAGCCAUUAAAUUCAGCAAAUUAAGGAGCAACUUGCUAAGACCUUGGGCAGCCCGAAUCAUAGGUUGGAUUUAGCUUGAGUUUGGAUCGUAUUGGAGAGCGUUUGAGGUACAGACGCACACCCUGGUGAUCCACCUGUUUAAGACACCCUUUCUGCUAUUCGGAGUGCUCCUCUCUUUCCGGAGCUUAUACUUUUGGUAUAUAUAUUUAUUAGUGCAUUU